rnacentral:lncRNA from 1 species
UUCUUUUUUCUUCCUCUUGUUAGCCUAUUUUGCAAAGGCAAACACUGAGACUCAGUGAAGGGUGCAGGUUGUUCAGGCCCCUGUGAAAAAUGAGAAGCAGACCACCUCCUCUGGGGCACCAGAUGCCAGGACGGAGGUGAACAGCACUCACCUUCACUUUGCCGCAUUCAGCUCAGCAGGACAGGCCCUGGUGGACCUCCACCCUCUCCAGACCCAUUGCUUGGCUCGAUAGUAAAAUAAUGCUGACCCGAAAGAUCAGAAGCAGAAGACGGCUUGCUGCUAUCCACAUCUGCUGCUUAUUCAGCAUUCUUGCUGAACUUUUAAAAAAUCCCUGAGAAUGCCAGAACUAGACUAUAGCUUGCUUAAAAUGAAAGAAAAAAAAAGGAAAAACUGAUAAUGUGAGGAAUCUUU